UGGGAAUAUUGCACAAUGGGGGAAACCCUGAUGCAGCGACGCCGCGUGAGGGAAGAAGGUUUUCGGAUUGUAAACCUCUGUCUUUAGGGACGAUAAUGACGGUACCUAAAGAGGAAGCCAUGGCUAACUACGUGCCAGCAGCCGCGGUAAUACGUAGAUGGCAAGCGUUGUCCGGAAUUACUGGGUGUAAAGGGAGCGUAGGCGGUCUUGUAAGUUGGAUGUGAAAACUAUGGGCUCAACCCAUAGCCUGCAUCCAAAACUAUGAGACUUGAGUGAAGUAGAGGCAGGCGGAAUUCCCGGUGUAGCGGUGGAAUGCGUAGAUAUCGGGAGGAACACCAGUGGCGAAGGCGGCCUGCUGGGCUUUUACUGACGCUGAGGCUCGAAAGUAUGGGGAGCAAAC
rnacentral:rRNA from 1 species